rnacentral:rRNA from 1 species
AUUGAACGCUGGCGGCAGGCUUAACACAUGCAAGUCGAGCGGAGAGAGGUAGCUUGCUACUGAUCUUAGCGGCGGACGGGUGAGUAAUGCUUAGGAAUCUGCCUAUUAGUGGGGGACAACAUUUCGAAAGGAAUGCUAAUACCGCAUACGUCCUACGGGAGAAAGCAGGGGAUCAUCGGACCUUGCGCUAAUAGAUGAGCCUAAGUCGGAUUAGCUAGUUGGUGGGGUAAAGGCCUACCAAGGCGACGAUCUGUAGCGGGUCUGAGAGGAUGAUCCGCCACACUGGGACUGAGACACGGCCCAGACUCCUACGGGAGGUAGCAGUGGGGAAUAUUGGACAAUGGGCGGAGGCCUGAUCCAGCCAUGCCGCGUGUGUGAAGAAGGCCUUAUGGUUGUAAAGCACUUUAAGCGAGGAGGAGGCUACUUUAGUUAAUACCUAGAGAUAGUGGACGUUACUCGCAGAAUAAGCACCGGCUAACUCUGUGCCAGCAGCCGCAGUAA